rnacentral:rRNA from 1 species
AACGAACGUUAGCGGCGCGCCUAAUACAUGCAAGUCGAACGAAGCUGUUUUAACUGGUGCUUGCACCGACUUAAACAACUGAGUGGCGAACGGGUGAGUAACACGUGGGUAACCUGCCCCAAAGCGGGGGAUAACAUUUGGAAACAGAUGCUAAUACCGCAUAACCACAGAAACCACAUGGUUUCUGUGUCAAAGAUGGUUUCGGCUAUCACUUUGGGAUGGACCCGCGGCGUAUUAGCUAGUUGGUAAGGUAAUGGCUAACCAAGGCAAUGAUACGUAGCCGAACUGAGAGGUUGAUCGGCCACAUUGGGACUGAGACACGGCCCAAACUCCUACGGGAGGCAGCAGUAGGGAAUCUUCCACAAUGGACGAAAGUCUGAUGGAGCAACGCCGCGUGAGUGAAGAAGGUUUUCGGAUCGUAAAACUCUGUUGUCAGAGAAGAACGUGUGCGAGAGUAACUGUUCGUGCAGUGACGGUAUCUGGCCAGAAAGCCACGGCUAACUACGUGCCAGCCGCCGCCGUAA